CGCGUAGGCGGUCGUAUUGCGUUGGGUGUGAAAGCCCCGGGCUCAACCUGGGAUGUGCGCCCGAAACGGGUCGGCUGGAGGUCGGAAGGAGGAGAGUGGAAUUCCCAGUGUAGAGGUGAAAUUCGUAGAUAUUGGGAAGAACACCGGUGGCGAAGGCGGCUCUCUGGUCCGAAUCUGACGCUGAGGCGCGAAAGCGUGGGGAGCAAACAGGAUUAGAUACCCUGGUAGUCCACGCUGUAAACGAUGCGUGCUAGACGUUGGGAGGCCUAGCCUCUCGGUGUCGCAGUCAACACAUUAAGCACGCCGGCCUGGGGAGUACGGCCGCAAGGUUAAA
rnacentral:rRNA from 1 species